GGGUUGUGAGGUUAAGCGACUAAGCGUACACGGUGGAUGCCCUGGCAGUCAGAGGCGAUGAAGGACGUGCUAAUCUGCGAUAAGCGUCGGUAAGGUGAUAUGAACCGUUAUAACCGGCGAUUUCCGAAUGGGGAAACCCAGUGUGUUUCGACACACUAUCAUUAACUGAAUCCAUAGGUUAAUGAGGCGAACCGGGGGAACUGAAACAUCUAAGUACCCCGAGGAAAAGAAAUCAACCGAGAUUCCCCCAGUAGCGGCGAGCGAACGGGGAGCAGCCCAGAGCCUGAAUCAGUGUGUGUGUUAGUGGAAGCGUCUGGAAAGGCGCGCGAUACAGGGUGACAGCCCCGUACACAAAAAUGCACAUGCUGUGAGCUCGAUGAGUAGGGCGGGACACGUGGUAUCCUGUCUGAAUAUGGGGGGACCAUCCUCCAAGGCUAAAUACUCCUGACUGACCGAUAGUGAACCAGUACCGUGAGGGAAAGGCGAAAAGAACCCCGGCGAGGGGAGUGAAAAAGAACCUGAAACCGUGUACGUACAAGCAGUGGGAGCACGCUUAGGCGUGUGACUGCGUACCUUUUGUAUAAUGGGUCAGCGACUUAUAUUCUGUAGCAAGGUUAACCGAAUAGGGGAGCCGAAGGGAAACCGAGUCUUAACUGGGCGUUAAGUUGCAGGGUAUAGACCCGAAACCCGGUGAUCUAGCCAUGGGCAGGUUGAAGGUUGGGUAACACUAACUGGAGGACCGAACCGACUAAUGUUGAAAAAUUAGCGGAUGACUUGUGGCUGGGGGUGAAAGGCCAAUCAAACCGGGAGAUAGCUGGUUCUCCCCGAAAGCUAUUUAGGUAGCGCCUCGUGAAUUCAUCUCCGGGGGUAGAGCACUGUUUCGGCAAGGGGGUCAUCCCGACUUACCAACCCGAUGCAAACUGCGAAUACCGGAGAAUGUUAUCACGGGAGACACACGGCGGGUGCUAACGUCCGUCGUGAAGAGGGAAACAACCCAGACCGCCAGCUAAGGUCCCAAAGUCAUGGUUAAGUGGGAAACGAUGUGGGAAGGCCCAGACAGCCAGGAUGUUGGCUUAGAAGCAGCCAUCAUUUAAAGAAAGCGUAAUAGCUCACUGGUCGAGUCGGCCUGCGCGGAAGAUGUAACGGGGCUAAACCAUGCACCGAAGCUGCGGCAGCGACACUGAUGUGUUGUUGGGUAGGGGAGCGUUCUGUAAGCCUGUGAAGGUGUGCUGUGAGGCAUGCUGGAGGUAUCAGAAGUGCGAAUGCUGACAUAAGUAACGAUAAAGCGGGUGAAAAGCCCGCUCGCCGGAAGACCAAGGGUUCCUGUCCAACGUUAAUCGGGGCAGGGUGAGUCGACCCCUAAGGCGAGGCCGAAAGGCGUAGUCGAUGGGAAACAGGUUAAUAUUCCUGUACUUGGUGUUACUGCGAAGGGGGGACGGAGAAGGCUAUGUUGGCCGGGCGACGGUUGUCCCGGUUUAAGCGUGUAGGCUGGUUUUCCAGGCAAAUCCGGAAAAUCAAGGCUGAGGCGUGAUGACGAGGCACUACGGUGCUGAAGCAACAAAUGCCCUGCUUCCAGGAAAAGCCUCUAAGCAUCAGGUAACAUCAAAUCGUACCCCAAACCGACACAGGUGGUCAGGUAGAGAAUACCAAGGCGCUUGAGAGAACUCGGGUGAAGGAACUAGGCAAAAUGGUGCCGUAACUUCGGGAGAAGGCACGCUGAUAUGUAGGUGAAGUCCCUUGCGGAUGGAGCUGAAAUCAGUCGAAGAUACCAGCUGGCUGCAACUGUUUAUUAAAAACACAGCACUGUGCAAACACGAAAGUGGACGUAUACGGUGUGACGCCUGCCCGGUGCCGGAAGGUUAAUUGAUGGGGUCAGCGCAAGCGAAGCUCUUGAUCGAAGCCCCGGUAAACGGCGGCCGUAACUAUAACGGUCCUAAGGUAGCGAAAUUCCUUGUCGGGUAAGUUCCGACCUGCACGAAUGGCGUAAUGAUGGCCAGGCUGUCUCCACCCGAGACUCAGUGAAAUUGAACUCGCUGUGAAGAUGCAGUGUACCCGCGGCAAGACGGAAAGACCCCGUGAACCUUUACUAUAGCUUGACACUGAACAUUGAGCCUUGAUGUGUAGGAUAGGUGGGAGGCUU
rnacentral:rRNA from 1 species